AACGAAAUAAUCACUGUAAGCGAAGUACGAUAAGUAUUUCAGGGAAUCAGGUGUGAAUCCUGAACAGUUCCGCUGCUGUAUACAGGGAGGCGAUAUCCAUAUAUGCCACUGGAAUAAGCUUUAUAUAAGCUGUUCUGGGAAGGCGGAUAUUGCUUAUGAUCUGUGAGUCAGAAGACCGGCUUACAGGCAGAGUUAUAA
rnacentral:ncRNA from 2 species